rnacentral:rRNA from 1 species
GAUGAACGCUAGCUACAGGCUUAACACAUGCAAGUCGAGGGGCAGCAUGGUCUUAGCUUGCUAAGGCCGAUGGCGACCGGCGCACGGGUGAGUAACACGUAUCCAACCUGCCGUCUACUCUUGGACAGCCUUCUGAAAGGAAGAUUAAUACAAGAUGGCAUCAUGAGUCCACAUGUUCACAUGAUUAAAGGUAUUCCGGUAGACGAUGGGGAUGCGUUCCAUUAGAUAGUAGGCGGGGUAACGGCCCACCUAGUCUUCGAUGGAUAGGGGUUCUGAGAGGAAGGUCCCCCACAUUGGAACUGAGACACGGUCCAAACUCCUACGGGAGGCAGCAGUGAGGAAUAUUGGUCAAUGGGCGAGAGCCUGAACCAGCCAAGUAGCGUGAAGGAUGACUGCCCUAUGGGUUGUAAACUUCUUUUAUAAAGGAAUAAAGUCGGGUAUGCAUACCCGUUUGCAUGUACUUUAUGAAUAAGGAUCGGCUAACUCCGUGCCAGCAGCCGCGGUAAUACGGAGGAUCCGAGCGUUAUCCGGAUUUAUUGGGUUUAAAGGGAGCGUAGAUGGAUGUUUAAGUCAGUUGUGAAAGUUUGCGGCUCAACCGUAAAAUUGCAGUUGAUACUGGAUAUCUUGAGUGCAGUUGAGGCAGGCGGAAUUCGUGGUGUAGCGGUGAAAUGCUUGGAUAUCACGAAGAACUCCGAUUGCGAAGGCAGCCUGCUAAGCUGCAACUGACAUUGAGGCUCGAAAGUGUGGGUAUCAAACAGGAUUAGAUACCCUGGUAGUCCACACGGUAAACGAUGAAUACUCGCUGUUUGCGAUAUACUGCAAGCGGCCAAGCGAAAGCGUUAAGUAUUCCACCUGGGGAGUACGCCGGCAACGGUGAAACUCAAAGGAAUUGACGGGGGCCCGCACAAGCGGAGGAACAUGUGGUUUAAUUCGAUGAUACGCGAGGAACCUUACCCGGGCUUAAAUUGCAGAUGAAUUACGGUGAAAGCCGUAAGCCGCAAGGCAUCUGUGAAGGUGCUGCAUGGUUGUCGUCAGCUCGUGCCGUGAGGUGUCGGCUUAAGUGCCAUAACGAGCGCAACCCUUGUUGUCAGUUACUAACAGGUUCCGCUGAGGACUCUGACAAGACUGCCAUCGUAAGAUGUGAGGAAGGUGGGGAUGACGUCAAAUCAGCACGGCCCUUACGUCCGGGGCUACACACGUGUUACAAUGGGGGGUACAGAGGGCCGCUACCACGCGAGUGGAUGCCAAUCCCAAAAACCUCUCUCAGUUCGGACUGGAGUCUGCAACCCGACUCCACGAAGCUGGAUUCGCUAGUAAUCGUGCAUCAGCCACGGCGCGGUGAAUACGUUCCCGGGCCUUGUACACACCGCCCGUCAAGCCAUGGGAGCCGGGGGUACCUGAAGUGCGUAACCGCGAGGAGCGCCCUAGGGUAAAACUGGUGACUGGGGCU